UAGUUGCAGACUGCAUGGACGAGGCUCCGAACCCUCGAGCGCUGGCGGGAUGAAUUCAAGCCGAACCAGAGACGAGACAAACAGGCGUAGAUGAACGUCUGAAAAUUGCAGAUUUCCCGAGGUUUUCAUUUUUACCAUGAAAAGAUGGGCUUGGCUGUUGGACCGACAUCAGUGUGGUUAACUGCAGUGCGCCGCACCUUCACAGAGCUACUCAGUGUGUUUGACAGGACGAUAUUACAAACAUCAGAGUCUGCAGGUUCCCCCUCUCUGCCGGCUGCAUUUGCCUCAUUUGGCCAACUUAUUUUGGAACACCUUAGAGGUACAAAACCAAUUUCUUUUUAAUUCUCCAACCAUAAUUCAUUUGUCCAUUUAAAAUCAAGAAUAAAUUUUGUUUAAAGUGAAAGCCUAGUGUGUAAUUAUACAAACUGAAAAUUGCUUUUCCUGAACAUUUCCUGAACAGUGUCGUAACGCACUUCUUAAUAUGCGUACUUGACCGUACUUGCGUUCUGGCAUAGUCGUUUUAUGUCAUCUUCCAUUGCUGAAAAUCAGUUCUAAUACUAAGAACAAAAGUACAGAGGAUGGUGAAACCCCCAGAUACCCCCACCCCAAAUAUCAAGGAUACAUUGGUUGCAUCCUCGGCGAAUGACACAAAUCUCAUUAUUCAUUGUGCUCCAAGUUCAUUCUUGGGAGACAAGUUAGCAGGACCGGUUUUGCCAAGACCGCAAGUACGAUUUUUGCAUUCUUGGUAUUGAGAAACACCCUCUGUGAUUAGCCCGUUGCAGCAUCACAUGACAGGCAGGCAUUGUCAUGGAUGUCAUGGACCAUGUCUGUGGGCCUGAUAGCAGCAAUAAUCCUCACUGUGCCCCCCCCCCCCCCCCUUUACAGAUCUGCAGCUCCAAAAAGCUCUCAGCCUUCAGCCAACGACAGAUCAAUACCUGUGAUUAAUUAACUUCUAACAAGAUCCCUGGCUGCUAGAAGCCUGAAAGGCUGUGGUGUCCAAGGCUCCCAAUUCAACCUGGCACUCAGUGAUACCCCCCCACCCCCAUCCUGGUCGGAAAUCCAUCACUUCUCUACCUAUGCUUUUUCCUGGUUCCAUCUUUCUCCUCCAUUCUUCACUGCAAACCAACCUCCAUGCGAAAAUUAAUAUUUGUUUUUCAGAGGUUAUUAGCUGCCUUGGGGUGAAAAAUUCUCCUUUGGCUCAAGUGAGCUAAUGGACAGAUACUCAGGCGAUAUGUGGUAUCUGGUUCAUCUACUUGUAUGCUAGACCCUGUUCCUACAAGUUUACUCAAAGAAAUGACCUCAGCAGUGAUUGAACCACUACUAGCAAUAGUUAACUCCUCAAUCAGCAUUAGCCAUCUGCCAAAAUCUCUUCAACUAGCAGUAAUUAAACAUUUGUUGAAAAAGCCAAACUUGGAUCCCUUGGAAAUGAUAAACUAUAGACCAGGGGUCACCAACUCCGGUCCUGGAGAGCUACUAUCCAGUAGG